CAGCCGCCGCGGGAAUACGUAGGGUGCAAGCGUUAUCCGGAAUGAUUGGGCGUAAAGCGUCUGUAGGUGGCUUUUCAAGUCCGCCGUCAAAUCCCAGGGCUCAACCCUGGACAGGCGGUGGAAACUACCAAGCUGGAGUACGGUAGGGGCAGAGGGAAUUUCCGGUGGAGCGGUGAAAUGCGUAGAGAUGUGGAGGAACACCAGUGGCGAAGGCGACUCUCUGGUCUGUAACUGACGCUGAGGAGCGAAAGCGUGGGGAGCGAACAGGAUUAGAUACCCGAGUAGUCCCUGUCUCUUAUAC
rnacentral:rRNA from 1 species